UACGGGGGGAGCAAGCGUUGUUCGGAUUUACUGGGCGUAAAGGGCGCGUAGGCGGCCACCGCAAGUCGACUGUGAAAUCUCCGGGCUUAACUCGGAAAGGUCAGCCGAUACUGCGGGGCUAGAGUGCAGAAGGGGCAACUGGAAUUCUCGGUGUAGCGGUGAAAUGCGUAGAUAUCGAGAGGAACACCUGCGGCGAAGGCGGGUUGCCUGGGCUGACACUGACGCUGAGGCGCGAAAGCUAGGGGAGCAAACGGG
rnacentral:rRNA from 1 species